rnacentral:rRNA from 1 species
UCCCAGACUCCUACGGGAGGCAGCAGUGGGGAAUAUUGGGCAAUGGGCGCAAGCCUGACCCAGCAACGCCGCGUGAAGGAAGAAGGCUUUCGGGUUGUAAACUUCUUUUAUUCGGGGCGAAGCAAGUGACGGUACCGAAUGAAUAAGCCACGGCUAACUACGUGCCAGCAGCCGCGGUAAUACGUAGGUGGCGAGCGUUAUCCGGAUUUACUGGGUGUAAAGGGCGUGUAGGCGGGACUGCAAGUCAGAUGUGAAAACCACGGGCUCAACCUGUGGCCUGCAUUUGAAACUGUAGUUCUUGAGUACUGGAGAGGCAGACGGAAUUCCUAGUGUAGCGGUGAAAUGCGUAGAUAUUAGGAGGAACACCAGUGGCGAAGGCGGUCUGCUGGACAGCAACUGACGCUGAGGCGCGAAAGCGUGGGGAGCAAACAGGAUUAGUACCCGGUAA